UACAACUAAUGAUUUGACAGUUGGAAUGAAAGCCGUCAUGUUGGCUGAAACAACUGGUCUGAGACUCCUAUAUGCGUUUGAUUAUAACAGUAAUCAAGGGUGUAAAGCUAGGUAAAGUCGGCAGAACGAUACCUAAGUAAGUCGAAAUGCUUAUAUGGUAAAGGAUAUGCCGGGACGCUAGUAC
rnacentral:ncRNA from 1 species